CUCCAGGUUGACUAGCAUGGAGGGGAUAAAGAGCGCUCGGCCGGCGUAGGCGGCUUUGAUGAGUAGCAGCACCGGGAUUUGCCUGAAGAAGGAUAAUUGGUGAUGUCCAAGCAGGCUCAGCGGAGCGGCCUGGGCAGGAGCUUGGAGCAUGAUAUCUUGGUGUGCGGGACAUGUCUGCGCCAGUUCUCAGAGAUAAAGCCCUUCAUUCUGCACAAGACCCACCAUGUGCAGGGUGGCAUUGUCUACAGCUGUGAGCUGUGUGCGAGAGCCUUCUCCUCCCACACCGUCCUGCUCUACCACUAUCGAACCCUUCACCAGCUGCAGACGUGGGACCCCAGCACAUGGGGCAGCACCUCUGCCAGCCCAGCCUUGCCUGCUGGCCCUGAAACGGUGCCAGGCCCUGAGAUCCCAGACACCGAGCCAGCUGAUCCGGGCAUGGACGUUCAUUUCAUCCUGACCACAGAGACUGUCAAGGGGAGAGCGUUUGAUUAUGGCCGGAUGGUCUUAAAGUGCCUGCACUGUGCCCAGAAGUAUUACUCCAAGGAGGGGCUUGUUGGCCACGUGCAUGCCAUGCAUCCUGGCACUGAAGGCCUGCCGCUGCCCCAGGUGGCGUUGCAGGGGUUGGAGAGAGUCAUGAGUGUGGCUGAAUACGAGGUGUAUGUGAAAUCCGUGGGGCGCAGAAGUGGCUCCCAGAAGCACGAAUCUGGGAGGCCUCUGGAAAGACCCCAUGGGAAGAAGUUUGUUUGCCCAGUUUGCAAGAAGGGCUUUACUAGAAAGCACAUACUCCAGCUUCACACCAGCACCCACCAAGCCAGCUGCAGCCCCUUCUGUGGCAGGCAGUGGGCAGCCUCCCAUCGGCGACACCACCAGUGCCAGCAGUGCAGCUUCCAGUCGGUGGUCAGCGCGGUGGCAUGGCUGCACCGGCAGGAGCACCGCCAGGGGACGGUGACCUGCGGGGUCUGCCACUGUGCCUACCCGGACCGGUCCACACUCAACAAACACAUGAGGGUGCAUGAUGCGGAGCGGCCCUACGGCUGCAGCUUCCCACACUGUGGCUGGAGGUUUAAGAGUGAGGUGCUGCUGAGAGCGCAUCUGCAAGCCCACGUCACUCCAGGCCAGUUUGAAUGCCCCUCCUGUGGCUACGCCUUCCGCCACAAGCAUCACUUGCAGCGCCACCAAGCCAGAAUGCAUGUCAUUCCCUCCAGCAGGGCGAAGAAACCAGAUGUCCCCCCAGUGGCACAGCUCAGGCGCACACAGCAGGGAGAUUCAGUAACAGAGCCCAACGCACACCCUCUCAAGAGAGCAGAGAGCAGGAUGCGAGCCUCCGAAAUACAAGAUCCUUCUGCAACGUUAGCUGCAGCGUUGGCUUGAGAGGACAGUUCCCCCUGGCCUGGGCGCGAGGCACCAAGUACCUGUUGCUCACUGGGGCUGGGUGCAGAAGCAGGGUUGACAAAUGGACUCUUUCCAGUGGCCAGCUUAGACAUAAGGAUCCAUGAACAUCCAUCAUCUGCAAUUCCUACAACUUCAGAGUGAUGGGCUGGUCCCACCCGCAGUGCUGCAACUAAACAUACGUCAGAUGGUAAAUUACCUGGAUAAUAAAAAGACUUUCUUCAUCGUCCAAUAAAACCAGGGAUGAGUUUGUAAUCCGAACCAACCAAUUCCAGCUAGACUCACAGAUGAAAAGAUUGCUCGGUUCAUUUAAACAACUAAUUCUCCCUUUUGUCUUGUUCAGAGCAAACAUUUCAUGGACAUGGUUCUCAUUAUAACCAGACUACACUCCACCCAGCAGAGCAGACAUUGCUGGGAGGUUGCUGGUACAAUAUAUGAGAAGGAAAUUAAACAGUGUGCAAAAAACAUUGACAGAAAAUUCAUUAAUUUUGAGUCUUGAUGGGUGGAGCAAUGUACACAGUGAUCCAGUAAUAUGUGCUGGUGUGACAACAGAAGAUGGGGUUGUAUCUUACAAAAACAAUUGAUAUAUCAGGAAAUGCCCAUAUAGCAGAAUACUUAAAAGAAGUAGCAGUAAAAACUCUAAUAGGGUAUGAACAAAAAUUCAAGUGUCAGAUGUGUAACUUUGUCACAGUACAGCAAAUGGAACAAAGAUGAGAAGAAAUCUAGAAGAAGAUAAUGAAGGGCAUCUGAAACUUAUAACAUAUGGGCGCUGGGCUCAUUUGACAUAUGUUUUAGCCCAAGACUUAAGUACAACUCCAAGAAUAAAGGAAAAUGUUGUUGAAAUUGCAAAAUCCAUCUAACAACCACUUUGCUUCAGCUUCCCUGAAGAGAGCUGGAUGGUCCAAACCAAUUCUCCCCCAUGAUGAACGAUGGCAUCUUCGGAGCUGUUUAUUAAGAAUUGGCCUAUGCUGAUGACAAUUUUUGAAGAAACAAUGAAACAAUCGCAGCCAAAAUAGACCACAUCGGACUAAAGAGAAAUGUAGACGACAUGCUAAAUAUCUUGAGCCCUAGUUCCAUAGCCUCGGACAAACUGCAGACGGACCACUGCUGCUUGGCUUAUGCCCUUGAAAUUCGGAAGGUGCUUCAGGAGAACUUGAAGAAAGAAAGACCCACCAACAAAGUCAAAUUGCAGGCAGUAAAGAAGCAGAUGGAUCAAGCACUUUCUCCACCUCAUUUUCUUGCCAAUAUUCUAGAUGCCUAACUGCUGAAGAAGAUGCUGCUAUGAAAUGGACAUCUAA